AAUGCACAAUUUAAGAACUUGUAAAAUUUGUUUCUCAUAGAAAGCAUCUAGGGACGUUUUGUCUCGACAUGUUUUCGUGUAGUAACUGAUGAUUUUAUGAGUGUCAUAGUUGUGCUAGAUAAAUUGAGGAGAGAAGUGUUCACUAGUUCAAACUUCCAACGCUACGCCUAAGCGCUGGGUUUGAAUUACUUCUAUCUUCGCACAAUA
rnacentral:misc_RNA from 1 species